UACGUAGGGCGCAAGCGUUGUCCGGAAUUAUUGGGCGUAAAGAGCUCGUAGGCGGCCAGUUGCGUCGGGAGUGAAAAUUCACAGCUUAACUGUGAACUUGCUUCCGAUACGGGCAGACUUGAGGUAUUCAGGGGAGAACGGAAUUCCUGGUGUAGCGGUGAAAUGCGCAGAUAUCAGGAGGAACACCGGUGGCGAAGGCGGUUCUCUGGGAAUAUCCUGACGCUGAGGAGCGAAAGUGUGGGGAGCGAACAGG
rnacentral:rRNA from 1 species